GGGGAUGUAGUUUAGAAAUGAGGUAGAAUACUUCUUUACACGGAAGAGAUGAAGGUUCAAACCCUUCCGUCCCCA
rnacentral:tRNA from 1 species